GUGGGGAAUAUUGGGCAAUGGACGCAAGUCUGACCCAGCAACGCCGCGUGAAGGAAGAAGGCUUUCGGGUUGUAAACUUCUUUUGUCAGGGAACAGUAGAAGAGGGUACCUGACGAAUAAGCCACGGCUAACUACGUGCCAGCAGCCGCGGUAAUACGUAGGUGGCAAGCGUUGUCCGGAUUUACUGGGUGUAAAGGGCGUGCAGCCGGGCUGGCAAGUCAGGCGUGAAAUCCCAGGGCUCAACCCUGGAACUGCGUUUGAAACUGCUGGUCUUGAGUACCGGAGAGGUCAUCGGAAUUCCUUGUGUAGCGGUGAAAUGCGUAGAUAUAAGGAAGAACACCAGUGGCGAAGGCGGAUGACUGGACGGCAACUGACGGUGAGGCGCGAAAGCGUGGGGAGCAAACAGGAUUAGAAACCCGAGUAGUCC
rnacentral:rRNA from 1 species